rnacentral:lncRNA from 1 species
UCCGUUCUCGGUGUUUCGCCAAAAUUCUAGACGCAUAGCCAAGUUUCGUGAACUUUACAAUUUUCAAAUACCACUGUGAAAUAAUUCUGUUUUAUAUUCACAGGAUUGGAAUAAUUCAUGUGAAUCCGCUAGUCAUAAUUUGCUUAGGUUGCAUCAGUGUGACGAUAUCUCGUCAACAAAAGAAAGUGCAGUUGACUCAUUACUGCAAAUAUUGCAUGUUAGUCGGGAACAAAGUUUGAAAUUUUCGAUAAUCCGACUCUCGUCCCUCCGAUCUUCGUCGCGAGCCUCUAAUUCCCACAUGAACCAAAACCAAAGAAGGAUGUCACAGUACAACGCUAAAAAGUAUGCAGAAGCACCUCCCCCCACAUCCUGGUCUGAUGAAUGGGACCCCGCAUCGGGACCUAGUAAUUCCAAACCCCACAAGAAAAGUACCGGAAGACAGACUACCCGGUCCAAGACCUGGAAAGGGAAGAAAACUAAUGCCCCUGAAAAAUCAGCUCCUGAAAAGGAGAUUUCUGACCCUGCAGAGAUCACUCGCGGAAUAACCAAAGCUAAGAAGGAAAACCUUCAAGACGAGACGCUUUGGCAGGAGGGUCCAUAAGUUGGUACCCAUCCAUUAACUAGAAUCUUUGCCGACUUGGAAGUGGGAAACCCCAGCCUACGAAGAGAAAUGCCAUGUUGUGCAUGUCAACCCGUCAUGACUAGUGUUCUAAACACUAUGAUCAUUGACCACGUCCGCAUCGUCAACGCCGAAGAUAGGUAUGCAGAUGAAGAAUCUUCUCUCAACCUGAUUCCAGAUGAUUUGGUACGUGAAGAUGAUCACCAACACAGUAAACCCAGCUGGUGAUUUAGUGAAGGCAAACUUUCCCAACGUUGGAAUACGAGCACCACACAUGGAUGCUGGAGACCACGUCGUAGAACAAAUCGCAGGAGGAUUUGGAGUGUAUGGAGCGAACAACCACAACGCAUAAAGCUAUAAAGCACAAAACAUCACGAUGUUAGCUACUCACAUGUUCAUAGUCUUUUCUAUAAUCUUCUCGUUUUUGAUCAGUUCGAUUAUGUGAUGUUGUUCCAAACUCGCGAGGCGCCUGUGGCUCCUGUAAUCAGCAAACAUAAGAAAAAUUUCUUAUUUACAAAUCAGUAUUAGUCACUUUUAGAGAUAAAAGCAUUAAAUCCAGCUUGCACUGUUGAUGGGUUAAGAUAAAUUUUAUUAUAUUUUACGAACAAAUAUGAAAAUGACAACAGUUGAAUCAUAUCGCGAUGUUAUUUUGGGAUCAAAAGCAUGAGGAUCACGGGAUAUUGUUAGAGAUUACGUUAACGGCAUCAUCUACAAUUCGCAUUGAGUACAGAAAUGCUAGGUUAUCCCAUUCAAGGUUUGAAUUCUCACCUUCGCGAGCACUGUCCCCAUUGUCUCUUUAAUAGAAGAUCUUGUACGAAAUUCUCUUGAGUCAGGCUCUCAUGCCGAAUUUGGUUGUUGAAAUUAAGCGUAAAUUUUUUUACUACUUUUACGCUGAUGAAAAUUUUGCGUCAAAUGGGAUUGUGGUGAACAAACGAGAACAGCCGGCACGCUGUUGCCAACUUAUAAGUAUAUGAUAGAGAAUUGACUUUAUUCACAUACAACGUGUUAUAUCUCUGGCCCUACGUUAUGAAUUUUUUUUUCUUCAACUGUAAUCGUAAUUGACACACACGUGCCUAUGGUAAUAUGAAAAAAUUGUAGACUUGUUUAUCUCAACUUGAACAUGCUGAUGCUACGGCGAAAUCAAAGAUCUUUUUAAUAAAGAUAGCCAUGAAUGAA